rnacentral:rRNA from 1 species
AUUGAACGCUGGCGGCAGGCCUAACACAUGCAAGUCGAACGAGUGGCGGACGGGUGAGUAAUGUCUGGGAAACUGCCUGAUGGAGGGGGAUAACUACUGGAAACGGUAGCUAAUACCGCAUACCAUCGGAUGUGCCCAGAUGGGAUUAGCUAGUAGGUGGGGUAAAGGCUCACCUAGGCGACGAUCCCUAGCUGGUCUGAGAGGAUGACGCGCAAAAAUGGAAAUGAGACACGGUCCAGACUCCUACGGGAGGAAGCAGUGGGGAAUAUUGCACAAUGGGCGCAAGCCUGAUGAAGCCAUGCCGCGGGUAGGAAGAAGGCCUUCGGGUUGUAAAGUACUUUCAGCGGGGAGGCGUUACCCGCAGAAGAAGCACCGGCUAACUCCGUGCCAGCAGCCGCGGUAAUAC